UCUUGAUUGAUUUUAUCCUGUGCCCAAACCAAAACAGCACAGCACUGUGGCUUUAAGAAAGAGGUCUCAGAAAAGCAAGAGUUGUUAUCUGUCUAUUAAAGUUUGCCCUAUCUAGAUAUGAUGCUGUUUCUUUUAGAUUUUUUUAUACUAACUUUUGCCACAUAGUCUUUGAUGAUAAAACUUAAAUUAAUCUGUCCUUUUUUUCUAUUCAUGAUCUUUCUUGAUUUUUAUCCUGUGCCCAAACCAAAACAGCACUGUAGCUAUGAGAAAGAGGACUCAGUAAACUGAGUGUCAUUAUCUGGCUAACAAAAGCCUAUGUGUGGUUCCUCCUAGUCCUGCUAUGACUUUUCCCAACUUUCAAAUGCUGUUGGAGAUGUCUCCUCUCACAGACUUCCCUGUCUACCUGAUAAAGGCAUAAAACCCAUUUUAUCUUAAAAGCUGCUGUAAUUGGGAUCACACUUUUAGUAUUAUGAUGCUUACUUGAUUAGUACAUUUAUUGUCCUUUUCUUAAACUAUGUUGUUUUACCUCUCUGCAACAUUUAAUAUUAUGAAUCAUCAUUUCUUCUUUGAAACUCUGCUGUUAUAGUGGAGAAAAACCUUGGAAAUAAUAAGCUCAUCUUUCUUGUUUUACAGAUGAAGAAACAGUGACCUCGGAAGAUGGAAGGACUUGUCUAAGGCUCCACAAUUAGGAAGUCUCUAGACAUAACUCUCUUGGUUCUCCUGUUCCUUCUCUAUUUCCUCCAGAAGCUGCUCUGUAUUUGACAAGAACUCCGAUGGCAUCUCUCAUUCCGAAACUUGCUGAAGGUGCCAGUACUACUCCCACUUGCCCCUGCUGCUGAAAUCUGAUAUGCACAGCAAGGCAGCUGACGUGCACUGUUGAGGACAUUAAUGUCUAUGUUAAGGACCAUACAUCUUUUGACAGAAUUAUCUACACCAUAUCCAUUGUUGUAGAAGCUGCCAGCAGCAGUGCUCUGACACCUCGUACCAAAACACUUCUAGAUUUUGGUUGCGUGUUUAAUUGUAAUCCUCUUACCAGUGACAGGAGCUAGAUCUGAAAUACUAUGCAGAGAGGCAAAAACUGGCUGCAGAGAGAAGGAAAGAUACAGGAAUCCCAGAAACAGAGAGGGAUGGAAAACCUCAUCAGCUGCUAGGAGGAGAAAUGAUUUCAAAUGGAGAUUGAAGUCAUACCUUAAUGUGCUGAUUUCAACCAGACUACCUAUGUAACUGAUGCAAAUGACCACGGAGGAGGGAUCCUUGAGUAUUUUUGGACAUUGAUAUAGAAGAAGACACCUUACAGCAUCAGAGGAAGUCGAUGGAUUCACCUUGGCUGGUAAACAGCUCCAGAACCUGGCUGUGCUGUUAUUGUCUUGGUGCAUUAUAUCCCUUCAUUCAGGGGAAAUGGGCCCUUACACUAAGAUAAUGUUUUCCAUAUUUAAAUAUUAGCAUAUAUGAACCUUAGAGAUUCUGAAGUUUAAAUCAUUUGUUUUGGCAAUUACAAAACUGAGACUUGCUGAUUUGAUUAGAAAGUCAAACAAUUUGUAGAACACCAUUCAGCUAAUUAACAGCAGACAAAAGACUAGAUCCUAGAUCUUUGCUUUUAGUUCUACCAUUCACUAUAUCACUACUAGUGAAUUUUUCUGAUCCUUUCUUGAGAAUAUAGUCUCUAUAGUAUGUCAACAAUUGUAAACUUGCAGCUAAGAUAGCUGAUCAUAUCCAUCUACAGGGAGGCACUACACGUUUGCGUGAAUACUUCCUCUUCUAUUUGAAAAGUGUAGAUUUACUUACAUUCUUUUAAAUAUAUCAACACAGACGAUCAGGCUAAGGAUCACUGUCUUCCAACACAGUCCUGGUUCUUGUGCUCCAAAGAAACAAAUGAAAGAGCAGGCUUCAAAGAAUUUUGUUUAUUGGGAUCAGUGGGGAUCACAAGGGUAGAUCUAAAGAAUGGAGUUCCUUCAGGGCUCAAUUCAGGUGGUCAAGAUGUAAAUAUAUACUUUCCUUCAUAAUACACUUAAGAAGAUAAGGUCAGUUUUGUCAUUGAUAUGGUCCUAUUCACCUUGUUUUUCUCUCUUAAAUUAUUUCCUUACCAUUGUGGAGAUAAAGAACCGCAUGGUGUCAUCACUCAUUUAUCUCUAAGCAUAGCAGACAUUUUCAAGUCAUUUCAGGUGUCCUCAAAUUAUUCAUUUUUUAUUUAAAUGAAGAAUCAUCCAGAGUUAGCAUGUAAAUAUUAGUUAAGGGCAGGAUGUGUGUGUGUUGUGGAGGGGAGGACCUCUCCUGUUUAGGAGGAACUGCUGGCCCUAAUAUGCAUGUCACAUACAUAUGAACCCUGAGCCGCUGUCAUGCGGAAGGAAUUACACUUCCGCUGCCCUCCCCUACCACAACCACAGGUGAAAUCUAACCUAGGCACGGAACUCGGCUCACACAGAUGUGAGCUUGCGCUGAGUCUCAUCCUUUGCUGUGGAACUCCUUCUGCUGCUUCCUGCCCCAGCAAACUCCCCUCCACCCAGCCACUAGAAAGGAGUCCCACAGAAGGGCAAGGAGAGUAGAGCCCAGCUUCUCUGUCCAACACAUAGAAGUUCUGAAAGGCAGUUAUAAAAGGCUGAACUGGGCGCAGGUAUUGUUAAAAAGGGAACCACUGACUUCCUGUGAGCACAUGUUCCUGUCUCACUCUUGCUCUGCAGCAGAGUAGAGGCUGUUUAGCUCAUCACAAAGGAAGUGCAUCAGCACUCCUGAAGAUGCUGCUCUCAGGGCACCUUUGAGUUGUGGGCCAGGAAGGCAUUCCGUAGUGAGAUGAAGGAAAGGCCUUGUUCAUAUUGUUAGCAUCAGUAUGCCUCUGGUUUUAUAGUUUCCUAAGUUAUUGCCACAGGUCAUGGAUCUGUGGCUCUCAAAUGUUCGCUCACAAGGUUCACAGCACUUGCUUUGCAGUUGCACCACCCAGCUAGGAGGGGUGAAACCAGUGGAGCAUUUUAGGCAGAGCUCAUUUCCGCCCACAUCAAAAGUAAGAGAGAAGUUUGUGGAGAGCUACAUUUGAGCCCUCCAUUAGCUGUUUUACAUCUUAUAGGCCAAGGUGGCACUUCCUACACUAUGUGCUGGUGAGAUACCACCUGGACAAAAUGUUGUAGAGGACCCAGCCUGAAAAGUGCUUAGGCUUUAAGUCCGAACAAUCCCCACCACAUCUCUACUCCACUUCCCACCGCCCUGGAAUUUUAAGUCAGGAGACACAUUGUGAGUGCAUGGACAAAA